GAUGAACGCUAGCGGCAGGCUUAAUACAUGCAAGUCGUGGGGCAGCAUGAAGUAGCAAUACUUUGAUGGCGACCGGCAAACGGGUGCGGAACACGUACACAACCUUCCUUUUAGUGGGGAAUAGCCCAGAGAAAUUUGGAUUAAUACCCCGUAACAUAGCGAUGUGGCAUCACAUUGCUAUUAUAGCUUCGGCGCUAGGUGAUGGGUGUGCGUAUGAUUAGAUAGUUGGCGAGGUAACGGCUCACCAAGUCUACGAUCAUUAGCUGAUGUGAGAGCAUGAUCAGCCACACGGGCACUGAGACACGGGCCCGACUCCUACGGGAGGCAGCAGUAAGGAAUAUUGGUCAAUGGACGAAAGUCUGAACCAGCCAUGCCGCGUGAAGGAUUAAGGUCCUCUGGAUUGUAAACUUCUUUUAUAUGGGACGAAAAAAGGUCUUUCUAGAUCACUUGACGGUACCAUAUGAAUAAGCACCGGCUAACUCCGUG
rnacentral:rRNA from 1 species